GGACCCUUAGCUCAGCCGGUUAGAGCUUUGUACUUAUAGGGAUAAAUUACGUAUUAUCUGGUCGUUAGUGACUUCAAAUGCAACGGUCCCGAGUUCGAUCCUCGGAGGGUCCA